CACAAGCGGUGGAGCAUGUGGUUUAAUUCGAAGCUACGCGAAGAACCUUACCAGGUCUUGACAUACUAUGCAAAUCUAAGAGAUUAGACGUUCCCUUCGGGGACAUGGAUACAGGUGGUGCAUGGUUGUCGUCAGCUCGUGUCGUGAGAUGUUGGGUUAAGUCCCGCAACGAGCGCAACCCUUAUUAUCAGUUGCCAUCAUUAAGUUGGGCACUCUGGUGAGACUGCCGGUGACAAACCGGAGGAAGGUGGGGAUGACGUCAAAUCAUCAUGCCCCUUAUGACCUGGGCUACACACGUGCUACAAUGGAUGGUACAACGAGUUGCGAACUCGCGAGAGUAAGCUAAUCUCUUAAAGCCAUUCUCAGUUCGGAUUGUAGGCUGCAACUCGCCUACAUGAAGUCGGAAUCUAGUAAU
rnacentral:rRNA from 2 species